GAUGAACGCUAGCGGGAGGCCUAACACAUGCAAGCCGAGCGGUAGAGAUUCUUCGGAAUCUUGAGAGCGGCGUACGGGUGCGGAACACGUGUGCAACCUACCUUUAUCUGGAGGAUAGCCUUUCGAAAGGAAGAUUAAUACUCCAUAAUAUAUUGAUUGGCAUCAAUUGAUAUUGAAAGCUCCGGCGGAUAGAGAUGGGCACGCGCAAGAUUAGUUAGUUGGUGAGGUAACGGCUCACCAAGACGAUGAUCUUUAGGGGGCCUGAGAGGGUGAUCCCCCACACUGGUACUGAGACACGGACCAGACUCCUACGGGAGCAGCAGUGAGGAAUAUUGGUCAAUGGGUGCAAGCCUGAACCAGCCAUCCCGCGUGAAGGACGACUGCCCUAUGGGUUGUAAACUUCUUUUGUAUAGGGUAUAAACCUACCCUCGUGAGGGUAGCUGAAGGUACUAUACGAAUAAGCACCGG
rnacentral:rRNA from 1 species